rnacentral:lncRNA from 1 species
UGGUGGCCGUCGUCAAGUAUGACAACUUCGAUAUCAGGAACUAGCGUCUUCAUAACGUUUCCCUCGAUGUAUGGCUUGUAAAAGGUUUUAUAUCCGAUAUCUUUAUCUCCGAUAAUGAACUUUGAUGGAACUGUCAUCUUUGACCCUUGCCAUGGUGCUAGCAGCUCCCAUGUCCUGUCCAUAGCGCGGUAGUAAUUUAAACCACCCGUGAAUCC